UUCGGUCUUUUGAGCGGAGCGGAACUACCUCUUUCCAUUCCGAACAGAGUCGUAAAACACUCCAGCACCGACGAUAGUUAUCCGGCAACGGAUUGUGAAAAUAGGUCAAGGCCGGAG
rnacentral:rRNA from 1 species